rnacentral:lncRNA from 1 species
CAAAUUCGGAUCCAAGUCCACAAAAACUAAAAUAUCCCUGUCUAACGAGUUGAGUCAAUAACCCCUAUAGUAUUGUUUUUUUUUUUUUUUUUUUUUUUUUGUAAAAGGUCCAUAUCCAUCAAUGAUUUUAAUUAUAUUAAAAAGAAACAUAGAAGCCAUCGUAUAAAAAUUAGAUUUUGUCUAAUUAUGAUUUUCUGACCAAAUCAAAUCCAAUUCUAACCGCCGAUCGC